AUUUUGAUGGUCACGAAACGAAGAGGAAAAUAAGGGGUGAUAUUACUUCGUCACGCAAUAUUAUUGUGCAGCGAAACAUCUGUAACACAUCUUUGGUACAGUCAGUUAAAGGCUAACAGUCUUAGUGGCAUUAUCAUUGUUGACGAAUGUAAACUUGCCGUGGCAGUGAAUUUUGGGACCAAAGCAGCCUCCUUCUCAUGUGCCGCAGCACGGCAGCUUCAAAUUAAAGAUGAAUCUGAAAAUUACAGGCCCUCUUCUUCUCGGUGGGCUCGUGCAGCUACCAAUUAAAUUCCCAGUCCUCUACAAACAUUUUACUGGCUGCAUCAGAAAUGUUUACAUCAAUCACGAGUUCUUGGACCUCAGUCAGCCAUUGUACAACAACGACGGAACCAGUGCUAAAUGUAAAGCAAUGGGCAACACGUGCGCAUAUAAACCUUGCGGGCGAGGCACGUGUUUUAACAUACUUGGUUCUCACCGGUGUGACUGUCCCACUGGGUUUGAUGGAAGUCGCGGUGAAACAGGUA